rnacentral:rRNA from 1 species
UAUUUUUAAUUGUAAAUUUUUUUAUACCAAAAUAUUAUGAGCAUAUGUUUAAAAUUUAAAGAACUUGGCGGUAUCUUAGACUUCUUAGGGGAACCUGUUUUUUAAUCGACAAUCCUCGUUUUACCUUUCCUUUUUUUGUUUUCAGUUUGUAUACCGCCGUCGUCAGUUAACGUUAAAAAUGAUAAUAGUUGUCUUUAAAAUGUUUGUUUAGAUGUCAGGUCAAGGUGCAGCUUAUAAAUUGGUUAAAAUGGGUUACAAUUAUUUAUUUGUAAUAUGAAUAAUUUUUUGAAAUUAUUAUUUGAAGGAGGACUUAAAAAGUAAUUUAAUUUAGAUAAAUUAAAUGAAUAUAGCUCUUUGAUGUGUACA